rnacentral:rRNA from 1 species
UACGUAGGGCGCAAGCGUUGUCCGGAAUUAUUGGGCGUAAAGAGCUCGUAGGCGGCUUGUCACGUCGGGUGUGAAAGCCCGGGGCUUAACCCCGGGUCUGCAUUCGAUACGGGCUAGCUAGAGUGUGGUAGGGGAGAUCGGAAUUCCAGGUGUAGCGGUGAAAUGCGUAGAUAUCUGGAGGAACACCGGUGGCGAAGGCGGCAUCCUGGACCGACACUGACGCUGAGGAGCGAAAGCCAGGGGAGCAAACGGG